UGUCAAUCAAUGAUGCCGGAGAGGUAAUAUACUAAGUUCAGGAAGGGGCUGUCCCUGGAGCAUUGGCUGCAAGGCAGAAAAUUCCAUGAGAAUUAGAUAAUUUCCAAAAAUACCAAUGCAGACAAGGCUGGAACCUCUUAUCACCACACAAAAGUCUGUUUGCCCGACUGUGUUUCUGUUUGGAAUGCAGCAGCUGCAUCAUUAUCUGAUGAGAUGACUGAAUCCAGACCAUGUAACAGCCAGGAACAUCUGUCUCUAAGGCACAAAAUGGACUCAAGUUCUGAACAAAGGACCAUAAAUCCAGGUUGAGUAACAUCGAUUGACAGAUAACUUUGCACCAGUAUUCAAACAAGAGGAUAGACUUAUGUGCACACAAGAACUCCAUGAAACAACCUCUGUUCCUAACUAUAAAUACCUAACUAAUUGCUGUUGUCUCACUAUACUGCUGCUUGACCUGGCCGUGCUUUGGAUGGCCAUAGUCAGAACGCCUAGCUGAUAGGAAGUGGCCAUAAUAGAGGUCAAAGCAUUCCCUUUUCUACAGAGGGGAACCAUGCUCCUCUGUGUUGGAGUUUGGACUAGGUUACCAUUAGUUCAACCUUACUGAGGGACAGAGAAGACAGGUGCAGAGAGAGAGACUGUAUGUAAACCACAUGUUUGCCUUUCUAACAACAGUCACUGACUGACUAGCAUCCACAGACUGCAGUACCACCCAAAAUCAGAAGGUGUGACCAAAGGUGAAGAAGACCUUCUGAACAAGGAAAAGGAGGCACCUUGAAAAACCCUUCCUCGUGUCUGGAGAAACCCCACCAGGAAAGAAACCAAGAAUCACUCACCUCAAUCUGCAAAAGGAAGAAAAUUAAACAGACUUACUUCCGGGUUCAAAGAUGGCCACCAGAACAUCACCUCCGGCAUCGUCUGAUGACUUCACUUCCGGCUCCAAUCUAUAACGACACUUUCGGUCUCCUAUCGAUGACAUCACUUCCACCCAUAUUUCACUUCCAGUCACUUUUGAUGACGUCGCAUCUGUCUGCCAGUUUCAACUUCAUUUCCGGUCAAAUCAUUUCCAUCCGCCAUCUUUUUAUUUGUGGAACUCUUUUUCUAUCACAAUUGGCAUAGUCGGCAGGAUUUUUUUUGUUCUUAAAGAUGACUGAAGAGCAGGAUCUUAACACCGUUUUGACCACCAUGAUGGCAGAACUACACACCCUGAAGGUACAGAAGGGAGAAACUCACACCCAGUUGGCAGAGAUGGAGGCACGGACUGCAGCAGAGGUGCGGACGGAGGCCACUCUGUCUCUUCCCCCUCAGCUGUCGUAUUUAACUGAGGGAGAUGAUGUGAAGACCUACUUCUAAAUUUUUGAACGCACCGCAAAAUGGAAUGCAUCGCCACGGUCAGAAUGGGUGUACCUCCUGGCACCCUACUUGAAGGGUGCAGCGCAAAGAGCUUAUGACAACUUAACUAAGGAGCAGGUGGCCAAUUGGGACAGUCAGUAUAGACCUCAUACAACCCUUAGAACCAUCUGCAACCAAUUAAACAUCUUAUAACAUCGGUCUACCAUCCUCAAAGAGAUGGGUUGGUGGAACGAUUUAAUCAAACUUUGAAACCGAUGUUGGGCAUGGUAGUUAGAAAGGAUGGAAGGAACUGGGAUCAGUUGCUCCCCUUUGUGUUAUUUGCCUACAGGGAGAUCCCACAGGCCUCUACUGGGUUUUCUUCUUUUGAGUUAUUGUAUGGAAGACAUCCCUGUGGUUUAAUGGAGAUGUUAAAAGAAGGAUGGGAAGAAGUGGUCAACCCCUCCUCAAAUAUUUUGGAAUAUAUCACGUAGUUACGCGAUAGAUUGGCGAAAAUCACACCCUUACUAAAAGCAAACUUAAAGAACUCAAGCAGCCCAUUCACUAUAUUUUAAUAGAAACACAACCCUCCGGGAGUUUCUCCCAGGGGAUUGUGUAAUGGUGCUCGUACCAUCUUCCCACUCUAAAUUAUUGGCACAUUGGCAAGGCCCGCAUGAAAUUAGGGAAAGAAAAGGACUCGAUCAUUUGGUUAAACAACCCAAUCGUCGGCUGAGGCGAACGAGUUUAUCACAUAAAUUUGCUGAAACUGUAAAAGGACAGGGAUGUUGAUCCCUUCUCUAACCAGCCUCACUCCCUUUUCAUUAAACACCAGCCCCCUGUGGCUGCAUGGUUUUUCUUCCAAAUAGAUUCACAAUCAGUGAUGAUAAUCAGUAAAGACUGAUCUCAUUUAAUUAGCUGGUCUUUUUUUCU